rnacentral:misc_RNA from 1 species
AAAGCGGCGUGCAGGAGUGCGCCAUCGACCUCGCGCUUGAGCACGCCGGCAUCGAUCAGCGCGAGAAACGCCUCGAAAAACAUUUCACUGACGCCGUAAAGACCAGCCGUGAAUGGUCCUGCCUCGCGCAACGCCUGCCCCGGAGCCAACCGUGACAUGAUUUCGCGAUAGGCUGCACUAUCACGAUGACGAACGAUCAAUCCUUGUGCGAGCGCAUCGCCGACCUGUCCAAUACCGAUCUGCAAGGUGCCGCCAUCGCGGAUCAAUCCCGCAGAAU